ACGUGGCUACCUGCCCUUGGGACGGAAAUAUCCCGGGAAACUGGGCCAUGUCCGAUAGGCGAAGACCUCUGGAACGAGUCUUCACCAAAGACGUUUGGGCAUGCUUCUAGACGUUGCCCAAGGAUGGGGCCGCGGCCGAUCAGGUUGUUGGUGAGGUAACGGCUCACCAAGCCUAUUACCGGUACGGGCCGUGGGAGCGGUAGCCCGGAGAUGGGCACUGAGACAAGGGCCCAGGCCCUACGGGGCGCAGCAGUCGCGAAAACUUCGCAAUAAGCGAAAGCUUGACGAGGCCAUCCCGAGUGCCAUCUGCUGAGGAUGGCUUUUACCUGGUAUAGAUAGCUGGGGGAAUAAGGAGAGGGCAAGUCUGGUGUCAGCCGCCGCGGUAAUACCAGCUCUCCGAGUUGUGGGGAUAUUUAUUGGGCCUAAAGCAUCCGUAGCCGGCUGAACAAGUCCCCUGUUAAAUCCAGCGACUAAUCGUUGGCCUGCGGGGGAUACUGUUCGGCUAGGGGGCGGGAGAGGCCGUCGGUAUUCUUGGGGUAGGGGUGAAAUCCUAUAAUCCCAGGAGGACCACCAGUGGCGAAGGCUGUCGGCUAGGACGCGCCCGACGGUGAGGGAUGAAAGCUGGGGGAGCGAACCGGAUUAGAUACCCGGGUAGUCCCAGCUGUAAACGAUGCAGGCUAGGUGUUAGGGCGGCUACGUGCCGCUCUAGUGCCGCAGGGAAGCUGUUAAGCCUGCCGCCUGGGGAGUACGGCCGCAAGGCUGAAACUUAAAGGAAUUGGCGGG
rnacentral:rRNA from 1 species